CGCACAUUGCGCCCCUUGGUAUUCCAUGGGGCAUGCCUGUUCGAGCGUCAUUUGUACCUUCAAGCUUUGCUUGGUGUUGGGCGUUUUGUCUUUUCCUUUACGAUUAGACUCGCCUUAAAGUAAUUGGCAGCCAGUGUUUUUGGUAGUAAGCGCAGCACAUUUUGCGUCUUAGUCUCUAAACGGUGGCAUCCAUAUAGCCUCUUUCUCACUUUUGACCUCGGAUCAGGUAGGGAUACCCGCUGAACUUAA
rnacentral:misc_RNA from 1 species